AACGAACGCUGGCGGCAUGCCUAACACAUGCAAGUCGAACGAGACCUCCGUGAGUAGUGGCGCAUGGGUGCGUAACGCGGGGGAACCGGCACUUAGGUUCCGAAUAAUUCCCUUAAAGGGGUGCUAAUACAGGAUAAUUUACUCGGAUCAAAGAUUUGUCGCAUUUGGGUGGGCCGGCGUUGGUCUAGCUAGUUGGUAGGGUAUAAGCCUAUCAAGGCGACGAUCCAUAGCUGGUCUGAGAGAAUGAUCAGCCACUCUGGGACUAAGACACGGCGCAGAAUCCUAGGGAAGGGAGGAGAGGGUAAUACAGGAAGAUGGGCGAAGGGCUGAUCCAGCAAUGCCGCGUAAGUGAUGAUGGCGUUAGAGAUAUGAAGCUGUUUUACACGCGGUGGUACUGACGGUACCGGGAGAAUAAGCUCCGGCUAACUCCGUG
rnacentral:rRNA from 1 species